UUCAGAUAUUUUAAAGUUGUGUGUUGUCUGCUUUUGUGCUGUCGGCUUGUGUGUUGUCUGCUUAUCCUUCCGGAUUACCCCCAGUUUUUGAUGGCGUUCGUUUUGCUUAGUCUUUAGUUUUCUAUGUUGUGUCUUGUGUACUAUUAUUUGUCUGUUUGUCUUCUUCUCUUUUAGAAAUGGUGUUGUCAGUUUAUUUUCGAUGUUUUUGAAUACGAUUUGACUCUUUCAUUUUUUUCUUGUAUAUGUUCACAGCCACGACAUGUGUAUGUGUUUUUUGAUGACUCAAGUGUUUUUUAUUCAAACGUGUAUAGUAAAACCAGUACAUACAGAGGAG
rnacentral:lncRNA from 1 species